CCAAUAGUUCCAUUAAACUGCAUUGAUACCUACUUCCGCUAUCUCUCCACUUAUUUUUGUCCCCAACUGUAUAUUGACAUAAGUCUUCGAUCAACGACAAAUCAAAGUUUCCUGGACUCCGAGUAAGAGAAGUCACAGUAACAGACGAAACUUAAGGCACGUUCAUAAACCAGGCACAAUGGCCGACUGACGCAGUUGGAAAUUCAUAUUCUUCACGACGCGUCGCACUACCUAAGUCAUCGUAAAAGACAUCACGAAUUUGUCCGCACGUGGUCUAUACGAAAGGGAAAGAAAAGACAGAGGCAGAGGGCAGCCUACGCUUGCACGUCGUCGCUCAAGGUGACGCUCGUUGAAUAAUUCACAAGCGAAGCUUCGUAUACGUUCGACGUGGUUCGUGUAUACCUUACGUAGAUAGAUAGGUCGGAAAGAAGGUGGUAAGGGAUAUAAAUCGCUUUGCAUGUGAACAUGUACGCGAGAGAGUAGCUUGUGCUCGGUGGAACACAUCGGUAUGUCGGGUACCGUAACUCGACUGUUGCCAAUGACUCGGAUCGAAGCCAAAGCUCUCAGAUCCGUUGCUGGAAAAGCAGUUGAACCGUGGACCAUCGCAUUGGCUUUUACAUAAAUCAAACGCUGCAUUAUGACUGGGAAAUGUAUAAUAGAGAGCUGAAAAGAUGACAAGCAAAGGAAUGUGGGUCUGAUUGGUUAUUUCUUUGUAGACUCAGCACAAAACAGCAACGUAAAGAUAAACACGUGUAUUGACCGAAAGUGUCACAUAAAACAAUAUGGCAAGACGUAACUGACGAUGGGGCAGCCAUAAACUUAAAUGCCUCGCAAAUUCUAUCCGUGAAAAUAUCCGUGGUACGAGAAAAAUUCGACAAUAACGUUGCAACCGCUGCAGGUGUGUACCGUGCGAAGCAGUACCACUUCGCAAAGCUGUCUCUUCCCUUUCUACUUCUCCUUUCGAGUGCUGGCAUAAUCGCGCGCUGUUGGAAAACAUUUCAAACUCUUCAGUGUAGAUAUUCAAAGAAACUUUCAUCAAAAAUGACAAGCAUCUCUUGUGAACGGAUAUUCUAUCCGCCGGCAAAACAUUGUAAACUUUAUAAUAUUUAAAAUAACAUAUUACAAUAUGUGAAGAAAUUUGUAAAAACAGGGAGAAACAUAAAUGAGUCAUAUGAAAGCCACACUAAUAAAUAGACUGCGGAUUUCUAUGCAAUUUUAUACUUCUAUGAACGUAGUUGAAGAAAUGGAAUCUAAAUAGAAAUCUGCUUUUUAUUAAAUGUAUUUGUCAUCUACUAAAUGUUAUAACAAAUA